UGGCGGAAUGCUUUACACAUGCAAGUCGAACGGCAGCAUAGAGAGCUUGCUCUCUGAUGGCGAGUGGCGAACGGGUGAGUAAUAUAUCGGAACGUGCCUAGUAAUGGGGAAUAACUAGCUGAAAGGUUAGCUAAUGCCGCAUACGACCUACGGGUGAAAGCAGGGGAUCUUCGGACCUUGCGUUAUUAGAGCGGCCGAUAUCUGAUUAGCUUGUUGGUGGGGUAAUGGCCUACCAAGGCGACGAUCAGUAGCUGGUCUGAGAGGACGAUCAGCCACACUGGAACUGAGACACGGUCCAGACUCCUACGGGAGGCAGCAGUGGGGAAUUUUGGACAAUGGGGGCAACCCUGAUCCAGCCAUUCCGCGUGAGUGAAGAAGGCCUUCGGG
rnacentral:rRNA from 1 species